rnacentral:rRNA from 1 species
GGGUUGUGAGGUUAAGCGACUAAGCGUACACGGUGGAUGCCCUGGCAGUCAGAGGCGAUGAAGGGCGUGCUAAUCUGCGAUAAGCGCCGGUAAGGUGAUAUGAACCGUUAUAACCGGCGAUACCCGAAUGGGGAAACCCAGUGUGACUCGUCACACUAUCAUUAACUGAAUCCAUAGGUUAAUGAGGCGAACCGGGGGAACUGAAACAUCUAAGUACCCCGAGGAAAAGAAAUCAACCGAGAUUCCCCCAGUAGCGGCGAGCGAACGGGGAGGAGCCCAGAGCCUGAAUCAGCAUGUGUGUUAGUGGAAGCGUCUGGAAAGGCGCGCGAUACAGGGUGACAGCCCCGUACACAAAAGCGCAUGUGCUGUGAGCUCGAUGAGUAGGGCGGGACACGUGGUAUCCUGUCUGAAUAUGGGGGGACCAUCCUCCAAGGCUAAAUACUCCUGACUGACCGAUAGUGAACCAGUACCGUGAGGGAAAGGCGAAAAGAACCCCGGCGAGGGGAGUGAAAAAGAACCUGAAACCGUGUACGUACAAGCAGUGGGAGCCCCACCACCAAAGCAUUUGCUGUACCGCGUUGACGGAGCGAAGCGACGUCAAACCGAUAAAACAGCAGUGUAAAGUGAGCCGCAGGGCGCUUUGCGCGACAGCGCAAAGGCAGGCGGUUUCGCGUAGCGAAAGCGAAUGCUUUGGGGUGGGGUGACUGCGUACCUUUUGUAUAAUGGGUCAGCGACUUAUAUUCUGUAGCAAGGUUAACCGAAUAGGGGAGCCGGAGGGAAACCGAGUCUUAAUUGGGCGUUAAGUUGCAGGGUAUAGACCCGAAACCCGGUGAUCUAGCCAUGGGCAGGUUGAAGGUUGGGUAACACUAACUGGAGGACCGAACCGACUAAUGUUGAAAAAUUAGCGGAUGACCUGUGGCUGGGGGUGAAAGGCCAAUCAAACCGGGAGAUAGCUGGUUCUCCCCGAAAGCUAUUUAGGUAGCGCCUCGUGAAUUCAUCUCCGGGGGUAGAGCACUGUUUCGGCUAGGGGGCCAUCCCGGCUUACCAACCCGAUGCAAACUGCGAAUACCGGAGAAUGUUAUCACGGGAGACACACGGCGGGUGCUAACGUCCGUCGUGAAGAGGGAAACAACCCAGACCGCCAGCUAAGGUCCCAAAGUCAUGGUUAAGUGGGAAACGAUGUGGGAAGGCCCAGACAGCCAGGAUGUUGGCUUAGAAGCAGCCAUCAUUUAAAGAAAGCGUAAUAGCUCACUGGUCGAGUCGGCCUGCGCGGAAGAUGUAACGGGGCUAAACCAUGCACCGAAGCUGCGGCAGCGACACUGUGUGUUGUUGGGUAGGGGAGCGUUCUGUAAGCCUGUGAAGGUGUGUCGUGAGGCAUGCUGGAGGUAUCAGAAGUGCGAAUGCUGACAUAAGUAACGAUAAAGCGGGUGAAAAGCCCGCUCGCCGGAAGACCAAGGGUUCCUGUCCAACGUUAAUCGGGGCAGGGUGAGUCGACCCCUAAGGCGAGGCCGAAAGGCGUAGUCGAUGGGAAACGGGUUAAUAUUCCCGUACUUGGUGUUACUGCGAAGGGGGGACGGAGAAGGCUAUGUUGGCCGGGCGACGGUUGUCCCGGUUUAAGCGUGUAGGUGUGUGUUCCAGGUAAAUCCGGUUCACUUUAACACUGAGGCGUGACGACGAGGCACUACGGUGCUGAAGCAACAAAUGCCCUGCUUCCAGGAAAAGCCUCUAAGCAUCAGGUAACAUCAAAUCGUACCCCAAACCGACACAGGUGGUCAGGUAGAGAAUACCAAGGCGCUUGAGAGAACUCGGGUGAAGGAACUAGGCAAAAUGGUGCCGUAACUUCGGGAGAAGGCACGCUGACACGUAGGUGAAGUGAUUUACUCAUGGAGCUGAAGUCAGUCGAAGAUACCAGCUGGCUGCAACUGUUUAUUAAAAACACAGCACUGUGCAAACACGAAAGUGGACGUAUACGGUGUGACGCCUGCCCGGUGCCGGAAGGUUAAUUGAUGGGGUCAGCGCAAGCGAAGCUCCUGAUCGAAGCCCCGGUAAACGGCGGCCGUAACUAUAACGGUCCUAAGGUAGCGAAAUUCCUUGUCGGGUAAGUUCCGACCUGCACGAAUGGCGUAAUGAUGGCCAGGCUGUCUCCACCCGAGACUCAGUGAAAUUGAACUCGCUGUGAAGAUGCAGUGUACCCGCGGCAAGACGGAAAGACCCCGUGAACCUUUACUAUAGCUUGACACUGAACAUUGAGCCUUGAUGUGUAGGAUAGGUGGGAGGCUUUGAAGUGUGGACGCCAGUCUGCAUGGAGCCGACCUUGAAAUACCACCCUUUAAUGUUUGAUGUUCUAACGUGGACCCGUUACCCGGGUUGCGGACAGUGUCUGGUGGGUAGUUUGACUGGGGCGGUCUCCUCCUAAAGAGUAACGGAGGAGCACGAAGGUUGGCUAAUCCUGGUCGGACAUCAGGAGGUUAGUGCAAUGGCAUAAGCCAGCUUGACUGCGAGCGUGACGGCGCGAGCAGGUGCGAAAGCAGGUCAUAGUGAUCCGGUGGUUCUGAAUGGAAGGGCCAUCGCUCAACGGAUAAAAGGUACUCCGGGGAUAACAGGCUGAUACCGCCCAAGAGUUCAUAUCGACGGCGGUGUUUGGCACCUCGAUGUCGGCUCAUCACAUCCUGGGGCUGAAGUAGGUCCCAAGGGUAUGGCUGUUCGCCAUUUAAAGUGGUACGCGAGCUGGGUUUAGAACGUCGUGAGACAGUUCGGUCCCUAUCUGCCGUGGGCGCUGGAGAACUGAGGGGGGCUGCUCCUAGUACGAGAGGACCGGAGUGGACGCAUCACUGGUGUUCGGGUUGUCAUGCCAAUGGCACUGCCCGGUAGCUAAAUGCGGAAGAGAUAAGUGCUGAAAGCAUCUAAGCACGAAACUUGCCCCGAGAUGAGUUCUCCCUGAGACUU